rnacentral:rRNA from 1 species
UACGGGGGGGGCAAACGUUGCUCGGAAUUAUUGGGCGUAAAGCGCACGUAGGCGGCUUGGCAAGUCGGAUGUGAAAUCCCUCGGCUCAACCAAGGAAGUGCAUCCGAAACUGCUGAGCUUGAGUACGAAAGAGGAUCGCGGAAUUCCCGGUGUAGAGGUGAAAUUCGUAGAUAUCGGGAGGAACACCAGUGGCGAAGGCGGCGAUCUGGGUCGAUACUGACGCUGAGGUGCGAAAGCGUGGGGAGCAAACAGG